rnacentral:tRNA from 1 species
GAAGGGAUAGCUCAGUGGUAGAGCGCAUGCUUAGCAUGCACAAGGUCCUGGGUUCAAUCCCCAGUACCUCCA